rnacentral:rRNA from 1 species
AACGUAGGUGGCAAGCGUUAUCCGGAUUUACUGGGCGUAAAGGGUGUGCAGGCGGGGUUGCAAGUGGUGUAUGAAAUCUCCCGGCUUAACCGGGAGGGGUUAUGCCAGACUGCAAUUCUAGAGGACGAGAGAGGGGGGUGGAAUUCCGGGUGUAGUGGUGAAAUGCGUAGAGAUCCGGAGGAACCCCAGAGGCGAAGGCGGCCCCCUGGCUCGUACCUGACGCUCAGCCACGAAAGCAUGGGGAGCGAACGGG